AAGUAAAGGAGUGGGAAAAGGCAUUUUGCGCAAAUGGACACCAAAAGCAAGCAGGGGUAACAAUUCUUAUAUCAGACAAAACAAACAUUAAAGCAACAGCAGUUAAAAGAGACAAAGAGGAACAUUAUAUAAUGGUAAAAGCUUUGUCCCAUAGGAAAAUACCACAAUCCUAAACAUAUAUGCACCUAACACUGGAGUUCCCAAAUUUA